rnacentral:sRNA from 1 species
UGCGGAUGUUAAUGUUUCAGCAUUAAUGACACCUGAAGAUCAAGAUGACAUCAUUGCUGUUAAGACGAUACAUGCUGAACAUGAUGUUGUAGAAGCAUUGCGGACGUUGCGACUUGUGAUAGAUAUGUCAAAAGAACCUGACUUGUAUUUACAAAUUAGUGCAAUUAGCGCUGGGAUUCCACAAAUUAAUGGUCAACAAACAGAUUACGUCUCUGAUUAUGACAAUGGCCGUAUUAUAAAUACAGUUGAUGAAUUAGAUGAUGCGUUAAAUUAUUAUUUAUUUUAUUUGAAAAAUUGGA